GACGAACGCUGGCGGCGUGCUUAACACAUGCAAGUCGAACGAUGAAGCUAGAGCUUGCUCUGGUGAAUUAGUGGCGAACGGGUGAGUAACACGUGAGUAACCUGCCCCGAACUCUGGGAUAACUGCUGGAAACGGUAGCUAAUACUAGAUACGACCUACGAAGGCAUCUUCUGUAGGUGGAAAGAAUUUCGGUUCGGGAUGGACUCGCGGCCUAUCAGCUUGUUGGUGAGGUAAUGGCUCAUCAAGGCGACGACGGGUAGCCGGCCUGAGAGGGUGGCCGGCCACACUGGGACUGAGACACGGCCCAGACUCCUACGGGAGGCAGCAGUGGGGAAUAUUGCACAAUGGGCGCAAGCCUGAUGCAGCAACGCCGCGUGAGGGAUGACGGCCUUCGGGUUGUAAACCUCUUUUAGUAGGGAAGAAGCGAAAGUGACGGUACCUGCAGAAAAAGCACCGGCUAACUACGUGCCAGCCGCCGCCGUAA
rnacentral:rRNA from 1 species